AUUGAAUGGGAAUAAAGACCCAACAUUAUAUGGAUGAAGAAUCCCUAUAAAUCAACAUUUUUCAAUAGUUAAAAUGCUUGAUUUUCAUUAAAAACAAGAUGGUUUCCUACCAUUUCCUCUACAAAAAAACUCUUGUCAGAUUAACAACUCACAAGGGUUUUUUC
rfam:Enterococcus dispar ATCC 51266 genomic scaffold acpMG-supercont1.1, whole genome shotgun sequence.